rnacentral:rRNA from 1 species
CACGUAGGGGGCGAGCGUUGUCCGGAUUUAUUGGGCGUAAAGAGCUCGUAGGCGGCUUGUCACGUCGGGUGUGAAAGCCCGGGGCUUAACCCCGAGUCUGCAUUCGAUACGGGCUGGCUAGAGUGUGGUAGGGGAGAUCGGAAUUCCUGGUGUAGCGGUGAAAUGCGCAGAUAUCAGGAGGAACACCGGUGGCGAAGGCGGGUCUCUGGGCCGAUACUGACGCUGAGGAGCGAAAGCGUGGGGAGCGAACAGG